GCAUCUCUUAACAACUUUCGUAAACACAGAUUUGUAAUGUCUUUUCUGGAAAAUGUGACUCUAUUCUCUUAAAAACAAACCGGCUAUAAAUUCGUUUGCCACACCUUUAGUUCCUCAGUCUAGUUUUGAACUUAGAGACGAUAUUUGACCCAGAAACAUGGCACAAAUUUUGAGUUGUGUUUUUCUCAUUGCUUUGAUCCUACCCUUUAUUUUUACAAUGCCAGCAACCCCAAAAACCAAUCAAGAAAAUUUAUUGGACAAUCAGAAUUCUGGUGAAGUUAUGAAUACUGCAAACACCAUGUAUUAUUAUUUCCGGCCGGUGUAUUCGUACAGAAGGGUACAAAGUCAAAGGCGGAGAGUUUAUGCUCCCAGGAGAAGAUACAGCAAUGGUUUUGAUAAAGACGAUCGAUUUCCCACAGUCGCUUAAUUUUUUUUCUGUAUUUUUUGAUUUGUGAUAUAUUUAUUUGUUGCUUAUUUAUUAUUUUUGUACAACAUAAUUACACAUAAUAAAUAUUUGUGCAUUUGAA